UACGGGGGGGGCAAGCGUUGUUCGGAAUUACUGGGCGUAAAGGGCGCGUAGGCGGUUCGCUAAGUUGAAUGUGAAAACUCUGGGCUUAACCCAGAGCCUGCAUCCAAAACUGGCGAACUGGAGUACUGGAGGGGAAAGCGGAAUUCCUGGUGCAGCGGUGAAAUGCGUAGAUAUCAGGAGGAACACCGGUGGCGAAGGCGGCGACCUGGGUGGAUACUGACGCUGAGGUGCGAAAGCGUGGGGAGCAAACAGG
rnacentral:rRNA from 1 species